AACGAACGCUGGCGGCAUGCCUAACACAUGCAAGUCGAACGAGACCUUCGGGUCUAGUGGCGCACGGGUGCGUAACGCGUGGGAACCUGCCCUUAGGUUCGGAAUAACUCCCCGAAAGGGGUGCUAAUACCGGAUAAUGUCUUCGGACCAAAGACUUAUCGCCUUUGGAUGGGCCCGCGUUGGAUUAGCUAGUUGGUAGGGUAAAAGCCUACCAAGGCGACGAUCCAUAGGUGGUCUGAGAGGAAGAUCAGCCACACUGGGACUGAGACACGGCCCAGAAUCCUACGGGAGGCAGCAGUGGGGAAUAUUGGACAAUGGGCGAAAGCCUGAUCCAGCUAUGCCGCGUGAGUGAUGAAGGCCUUAGGGUUGUAAAGCUCUUUUACCCGGGAUGAUAAUGACAGUACCGGGAGAAUAAGCGCCGGCUAACUCCGUG
rnacentral:rRNA from 1 species